GCAAGAGGCAGUGCUCAAAUGAGCAUUCUCUUGCAUCUUCUGUUUUCCUCUUGUCGUUCCUCACUUGCCUUCAAACAGUCCAACUCCACUCUAAAGGACUAUUAUGAUCUUGGCUUUCCCAGGUCAGUCACUACCCUCCAGUUGAAGCAGUUCAUCCAGGUCCCUUCACUCCUUGGGAUGGGAGCAUGGGAAGGAGGCAUUACCCCUUCUUCAGCUCAGACAGAAUAAAAUAGGUCCCCCAUUUCAUGCUCCCCAGGUCCGUUGUAUCAGAGGACU